UACGUAGGGUGCAAGCGUUAAUCGGAAUUACUGGGCGUAAAGCGUGCGCAGGCGGUUGUGCAAGACAGAUGUGAAAUCCCCGGGCUUAACCUGGGAACUGCAUUUGUGACUGCACGGCUAGAGUGUGUCAGAGGGGGGUAGAAUUCCACGUGUAGCAGUGAAAUGCGUAGAUAUGUGGAGGAACAUCAGUGGCGAAAGCGACUUCCUGGACCAAUACUGACGCUCAUGUGCGAAAGCGUGGGGAGCAAACAGG
rnacentral:rRNA from 1 species